AAAGAAUUAGUUAAAACUAUAAUAUAGGCCUGUCACGCCUAAGUUACUCUUACCAGUAUUCUUUA
rnacentral:tRNA from 1 species